rnacentral:tRNA from 1 species
GCCUGGGUGGCUCAGUCGGUUGAGCAUCAGACUUCGGCUCAGGCGGCUCAGGUCAUGAUCUCACAGCUCGUGGGUUCGAGCCCUGCGUCGGGCU